rnacentral:rRNA from 1 species
GAAACUACAAAUAGAAGUUGACGGGGCCCGGCACAAGCGGUGGAGUAUGUGGUUAAUUCGAUGCAACGCGAAGAACCUUACCUGGUCUUGACAUCCCGGAGACCCUUAGGAAACUAGGGGGUGCUUCCAUCUGGAAGAAUCUGGAGACAGGUGCUGCAUGGCUGUCGUCAGCUCGUGUCGUGAGAUGUUGGGUUAAGUCCCGCAACGAGCGCAACCCUUGCCUUUAGUUGCCAGCAGUUCGGCUGGGCACUCUAAAGGGACUGCCGGUGUUAAACCGGAGGAAGGUGGGGAUGACGUCAAGUCCUCAUGGCCUUUAUGACCAGGGCUACACACGUACUACAAUGGCCGAUACAAAGGGCAGCGACACUGCGAGGUGAAGCCAAUCCCGUAAAAUCGGUCUCAGUCCGGAUUGGAGUCUGCAACUCGACUCCAUGAAGUUGGAAUCGCUAGUAAUCGUGGAUCAGCAUGCCACGGUGAAUACGUUCCCGGGCCUU